GUGGGGAAUUUUGGACAAUGGGCGCAAGCCUGAUCCAGCCAUGCCGCGUGCAGGAUGAAGGCCUUCGGGUUGUAAACUGCUUUUGUACGGAACGAAAAGACUCUGGUUAAUACCUGGGGUCCAUGACGGUACCGUAAGAAUAAGCACCGGCUAACUACGUGCCAGCAGCCGCGGUAAUACGUAGGGUGCGAGCGUUAAUCGGAAUUACUGGGCGUAAAGCGUGCGCAGGCGGUUUUGUAAGACAGGCGUGAAAUCCCCGGGCUCAACCUGGGAAUUGCGCUUGUGACUGCAAGGCUGGAGUGCGGCAGAGGGGGAUGGAAUUCCGCGUGUAGCAGUGAAAUGCGUAGAUAUGCGGAGGAACACCGAUGGCGAAGGCAAUCCCCUGGGCCUGCACUGACGCUCAUGCACGAAAGCGUGGGGAGCAAACAGGAUUAGAUACCCUAGUAGUCC
rnacentral:rRNA from 1 species